CGCGCCCGCAAAGUCCCGCAAACAGAAAAAUUAGAGCAAACCUGGUUACAGAUUGAGUCAGAUUUAAAGAAGAGCUAGUACAAUUUGUUGUCCCGCAACCCGCCCCACUUGCAGCCCUAUAUCAAACCUUGAGCAAGCUUUGGAGAAGUACCCCAGAGAUUUCAAUAGGUGGGAUGCAUACAUGCAGCAACUAUGAUCUGCAUUGGUGCUUCUAGGAUGAAGAGUGAAUGCAUGUCAUUCAAAGAUAACUGUGGGAAAGGAAAUGUUGAAGGUAUCUUUACUACUAUCUGCCGGAAACUGAGAAGCAUGAGAGGAUCUGAUGCUGCUGGAAUAGGCGCUUUUGAUCUUUAUAUAUUACAGAACAUAAAGAAGAUCAGCAAAGGAUGAAAAGCUGACAUAAAAUAUUUGCUGUAUUUCAGAGCAUGCUGAAGCAAGGUGAUUCUGAAAGAUUGGUAAUAUUAGCAGAUUAUGGAUGGCACUGAUUUCUACCCUGACGAUGACGAAGACCUGAGCCGCAAGCAUAAGUUUAAGACCUGGCGUGGCAAGAUCGACGGCACAGGUCCCGGUCUUUAUGGCGAGGCAUGAUCGAAAUUUGCUAUGAUCCUUUUCUCUGGUGUUUACUUUAGUUUUACAAUGUUCCGAACUAGAGUUUCGUACUACAAAGUCUUUACUUUAGUUUAUAAUGUUUCGAACAGAGUUUGUCAUUUUGUCCGAUCGAGAAAUCUGGCGUGUUAUAAUCUUUAUCUUGUAUGAUUCAAAAUACUCUUUAUGCUA